rnacentral:lncRNA from 1 species
ACUUAUUUGUUUUUCGUUCAUUUUUUUACAUAAAUAAGGCCGUUAGUUUUCUCGUUUGAAUUGUUUUACAUUGUCUUAUCGGGGCCUAUUAUAGCUGACUAUGCGGUGUGGGCUUUGCUCAUUGUUGAAGGCCGUACGGUGACCUAUAGUUAUUAAUGUCUGUAUCAGUUUGGUCUUUUGUGGAUAGUUGUCUCAUUGGCAAUCAUACCACAUCUUCUUUUUUUUAUAUUGACA